GUGCUCGCUUCGGCAGCACACAUACUAAAGUUGGAGCGAUACAGAGAAGGUUAGCAUAUGGCCCCGCACAAGGAUGACAUGCAGAUUCGUGAAGUGUUCCAUACCUUU